GGAUGAUCAGGAAGAUGGAAACUUGAGAAGAAAGGUAAGUGCUUCAGUCAUCUAUAUGUCCACUUUUAAGUGGUUAGACUGAGAAACAGUGAAUGACCUAAAGUCACCCAAUGAGCUUCACUGGUUUCUUUAGUGCAACAAUAAUCACUACAGUUCCUCCUACAAGAAGUAAGAACAGCCAACAAAUCCUCAUGUUAUAUAGAAGCUGCUCCAACUCUGCAAAAAACUUUUGGGAAAGCAGAGAAAACCAUACUUGGACUGCAGGAAAGCCCUGUGAUCAG